GCAGAGCAAAAAAAAAUAGGCAAUAAUGUUUGGAGCAACUCUAUUUUUAGGUAGAUUGUAGAAUAGGGGUAUAUCCCUCUUUAUUCAAAAACAAAGGGAGAUAAAAAAAAAAUUUGUACCUAAUUAUAGAUGUAAUGUCUCUUUUUGUAAAGUCUACUGUGGCGUUCAUAAAUGUUUGUGUAUGGUCUAUAAGUGUGUUCUUAAGCGCUCCUCAAAUUAAAUAUGGGCUUCACUGAUCAAAAACAGAACGUAUCAGAGUGAGAUAGAAAAAGGAAAAAUCGACCAUUAUUUCACCUAUGAAGUCAAAAGUAGUAACAGCACUCGGAUGUCAUAUUUAUUUGUAGUCAGACUGUUUUUGUGUGUUUAGACAAAUACUUCUUUUUAAAUAAAAGGUUUACACACUUGAGAGGAUAUAGGAUGAUAAAAGUCCCCUGACUGUUAUCUGCAGAUUUAAAAUGCUAAAGUUAAAUAAAUCUAAUAUGUUCCUAAACUCAUUGCAAAAUUGUGAUAAAUCAUGACUGUUUUAGGCAUUAUACAACAGCCCCCAAUCCAGGUGUUUGAGCUUCCCUUAUUGGAUGUUUUACUGCUUUCCUUGCUCUUGAUACAAACACGACAACAUAUCCUAUCUAUUUAACAAGUCCUUCAUUUGUAAAAUCUAUGUCAUGGCAAAGGUACAUAACAGGAGGGCAGGCACAGCUUAACCUUCAAACUAAUUUGUAACAUGGUGCUCUCUGCUGGUAAAAGCUCAGCAAAACAUGACUCAUGAGACAUAACCCACAACAUUUAUAUUACUGAUCUUAAUAUUAAUGCUUGAAAUAUAAAAGGCUUUGGAUGAGCCUCCAAAUCAACUCCUGCAGUGCGGUGAUUUAAAAUUAUAAGUAGAAAAAGUAGAAGAAAAACAGCUGUUCGUGGCAGCUGGCAGCUUUAUUCCUGCUACAUCCGAAGCAGCUGCAGGAUCUUGGCUGCCAGUAUUUAACCCAGUAGAUUGAGCCCAGGCAAUUGAGCAAACAUCUGUCAAACACAUCUACCAAAAAAUCUGUUCAUAUCAGGUUUAGGAGGACCGUAUCUGAACGGUUAGGACUAAAUAAGUGUAGUUUCAUCACUUUGUCCACUUCAUAAGAAAAUGAAUGUUAUCUUUCUUCAUGUUUGAGUUGAAUCAAUGUCCAAAACCAGGCUGGGAAACUGAGCACCUCCAGCUCCCAGAAGCGAAUACACACCACGAAGUGCAGUAGCACUAGGGCGCCCCAAUGAAGAAGACUCAUAGGAGAUCAGAUCUGCGAGUUCACAGAUCGCCUGUAAUAAGGAAUAAAAAAUAAAUUUAAAAAACUGUGUAAUGGAAUUAAACACAAUUAGAACACUUUCAGGUACCAAACUUAAAUUCUCCUAAAAAAAAAAAAAAAAUUUAAUUGAAGCCUUCUUUUGAGGUAACAAAAGUGAAAUGCUUUCAGACAAGGGGUUUAAACUAGACAUGAAAGGAGGUGAAAUUAAAACUUGCUUGAGGCACAAGGGAAGAUGUUGAAAAUAAGAAAGCUGCCAACUGAAUGUAAAAAGUGUGAUGUACAGUGCCCUCCACUAAUAUUGGCACCCUUGGUAAAUAUUAGCAAAGGCGGCUGUGAAAAACUGUUUAACUUUUCAAUCUUUUCUUAAAAAUAAAUAAAUUAAUAAAUAAACAAAAUAAAAAAUCACAAAAAGCCUCUGCUCUCAUGGAUAUACUGAACCUAAUCAAUAAAUCAGUGAGUGACUAUAGAACAGCUGUGGUUCAGGAUUAUGAGCUGUGAGAAACAUAAGCUCUGACCUGGUGCACGCGGAGCUCCAGCUUCAGCUGAGCUACACGUAGUCUCAGACUGUGCAGCUCUUCUAGCUCGCCUUCGCUGCUAUAGGCCAGUAUGGGGGGAAGGCAGGGUUGCUCCGAGUCGUGCCACUCAACCCUACUACGCAAUGGACACAAUGCCCCAUGACACCAUGCCAUCUUCCUAUCCCAAUCUGAAACCAUAUUACAAUAAAACCUACAUCCAGGAUGAUGCCAUUCUAGCAGCUGUGCUUUUAAUCAGUGCCUUUAUCACUGCUUAUUUUCUUUACUUCACCAGUUGCAGCUUGUUUCUCAGAUUAAAUUGACACUUUGUUGCCAGUUGAAUUCAGUUCAUCUACCUUGUACCUAACUUACCACUGUAUCAGGUAAACCUAACAUAAGUACACUUCGUUGGUAUACUAUUACUGACUGUAGACCAUAUGUUACUUUGCAGCCCUUUCUCACCCACCAGUCAAUGGAAAGAGAUUGCUUCAGGCUAGUUUUAUCAAACACCUUAUUUGGCCUAGCUAGAUGUACAGUUACAGAGUAUAGCUUACCUGUGGCUAUGUUUACAUGCAAACAUAUUUACCAAUCUGACUGAUUUAAAGUGUUUGAGUAUCCUCAACUAUACUCUCUGUAGACAAUCUUCUUGUUAUAUGCAUGGUAAUCUGAUCCAAAGUUAGUGAAUUGAAUACGCAUGCAGAUUGGAUUAGUUACUGAGCUGUUUGUUUGUGUAACUCAUCAGACAGGCACCAUUAUGUACCUUUUUUGAGGUGAUGAGCUUCGUUAAUGACCUGGAUCAUCAUUUUUUCCAGGCCUGCCAGCAUUAGCAGAGACUCAUAUUCCUUCUCUGUUGAUGGUUCUGUUCACACAAAUAGAGUACAGGAUAUUUUCACACACAGUAUCCAUUGAGACAGCACUGACUUGCCUUUUAAAAACCGCCAGAAUAUAAACCACAUUAUUACUGUGGUGUUAAAAGAAAUGGGAGCAUUAGAUCAAUUAUCUGCUGAAUGAGCUGCCUGAAAGUCACAUUAUUCCCUCUAGUCUUGUGGCUCAUCUCGCAGUCUCUCCUCCUACACCCUUCUGCUCCAAUCUCUUGCAGACUCCCUGAACAGCGUUCUUGCUCGCUCAAGUCUGUUCUUUUAAUAAUUUACUACCUGGACUCCAUCCCAGUUGGUAGCUUUGGAGCUCGGCAUUAUAGCAGUGAGUGAGGUCCAGCCCUAGCUGUGUAAGGACAUCUAGAUCUGCUUCCAUGGCUGUUAUGUGGACAGAAGCCCAUUCUGUGGGAAACUGUGCUAAUAAGUCUCUUCUUAAAGUGGUCUCUCUCUGGUACAGGCUUAGAAUAUUUGGUCAACAUUUUAUUCCACAGUCUGGUGAUGGAGACACAAUCGGCAAAUUAGUUUAUGAGAUAUUCAAGCUCAAUGAUGAUAGAAGAAAUCAGGAUGGGGCAAAUAAUUUUUCACAGCACUGAAUGUCUUCUGUUUGUGUACAUUUUACAUUUACAUGUUAUGGCAUUUGGCAGACGAAAGAUAAAACAAAAGCAACCUGAAUAAACACAAAAUACAGUUUUUAAAUGAUAAUGUUAUUUAUUGAAGCAAGAAACUUAUCCAAUACCAACUGGGCCUGUUUGAAAAUGUAUUUGCCACCAUAGUUACUAAUUGCCCAAAUCUAUGAAACUGCAUUCAUAAAGGGGUUUCAGUUGGAUUACAUGUAACCAGGCCUGAUUACUGCAAACCCUGUUCAAUCAAAUAAACACUUACAUAGAACUUUUUUAACAGCAUGAAGUUGAUUAAAAAGGUCUUACCCAGUAACACACUAUACCAAAGUUGGAAGAAAUUCCAGAAAUGAUGAGGAAAAAGGUGAUUGACAUACAUCAGUCUGGGAAGGGUUACAAAGCUAAUUGAAAACCUCUUGGACUCCAAAGAACCACAGUGAGAGCCAUGAUCACCAAAUAGAAAAAACUCGGUACAGUGAUGAACCUUCCUAAAAGUGUCCGACCUUCCAAAAUUCCUCCAAGAGCACAGGAACUACUAAUCCAGGAAGUCACGAAAGAGUACAGCAUCAAAGGACCUACAUCAAUAAAAGUCACUGUUCAUGACUCCACUAUCAGAAAGACACUGGGCAAAAAUUGCAUCCAUGGAAGAGUGGCAAGGUGAAAACCAAAGCUAACACAGUAGAACAUUCAGGAUCGUCUGAAUUUUGUCAAAACACACCUUGAUGAUCCUCAAAUCUUUUGGGAGAAUGUUCUGUGGAUUGAUGAAUCAAAAGUGGAACUGUUUGGAAGACAGAAGUCCUGUUACAUCUGGUGUAAACCAAACACAGAUGCUUUGCUGCUUCAGGGCCUGGGCUUUAAUUGAGGGAAACAUUAAUUCUGCUCGCUACCAGAAAAUCCUAAAAGAGAAUGUUCAGUCUUCAGUCCGUAAGUUGAAACUCAAACGCAACUGGAUUAUGCAGCAAGACAAUCAGUACGUUUACAUGGACAACAAUAAUCUGAUAUUAACUCGAUUAGACAAUACUCUGAUUAAAAAACUUGCAUGUAAAGAGCAAUUUUUUUAUUACCUUAAUCCGAUUAAAGUCAUACUCAAAGUAAACACAAAUCGAAUUAAGACAGUAUUGGAGUAUUCCUAUUUUAGUCGCAUUAUCGACAUGUAUUACAAUCACGUACACACCUUAAAUCACACUAUUAACGUCGUGUGGGAGUUUACACAUCAUUUUGCGACAGGAUACAUACACACAGCAGUGCUCAACUGUUUUACAGCAAACAAUAGAGCACGGCUGCGUCCAAAACCGCAUACUUGCCUACUAUAUAGUAGGCGAAAUACAUGCAUCUCAGCUACUAUAUAGUACGCGGUUAGGGACACAGCUCAUGGCUUCAAGCAGUCGCCUAUUAGCACGUAUAGCAUGAUAAAUAAUUAACUGCACUUGAAGCGUUCAUAAAAAUUAAAAAUAAAAACACCCAAAACUCUAUACGGUACCAUAACGAAGACCAACUGUAUGUUGAUACGUGAAAUUCUGAAGGGACGUCAUGACUGCAUGGUGCAGUGACGUAUUGACGUGUGAUGUUAAUCGAUCCAUGUUCUAUAACAUGUAAAACGGGAACAUGAAAGGAGUAUUCUGAAAGCAACUCAUGUAAACACCUUAAUCACAAUAUUGUCUUAUUCAGAAUAAGGUAAAAAAUUAGAUUAUUGCUGUCCAUGUAAACGUAGUCGGUGAUCCAAAGCAAAGGAGUUCUAAUCCUAGAAGUAAGUGAAAGACUGAUCUCUAGUUAUUGGAAGCGUUUGGUUGCGGUUGUUGCUGCUAAAGGUGGCACAAAGAUAGGUGUUGGAUAACCUUUUUUGCUUCAAUAAAAAAUAAUAAUAAAUAAAAACUGUAUUGUGUGUAAAACUAUUUAGUAUGAGAUAUACACAAAAACAGCACACGCGCACACACACACACACUAACUUGUUCUUUUUGGCCCGUUGUGCCUGCCAUAAUGGUAAGGAAGGAGAGGGCACCCUGCAACAGAGAAAGUAUGUAAUGUUCAGAAAAAUUCAAAUAAGGAGCUACGGCUAAUGCUAAACAGCAGAGGUUCAUCUCA
ensembl:lncRNA